rnacentral:misc_RNA from 1 species
AUCAUUGCUGGAACGCGCCCAGGCGCACCCAGAAACCCUUUGUGAACUUAUACCUUACUCGUUUGCCUCGGCGCUAGCUGGUCCUGCCCGGGGGCCCCCUCACCCGCCAGGGUGUCGAGAGAGAGCACGCGGGCGGCCAGCCUAACUGCUUGUUUUUGACGGCUGAAACUCUGAGGAUAAAACAUAAAUGAAUCAAAACUUUCAACAACGGAUCUCUUGGUUCUGGCAUCGAUGAAGAACGCAGCGGAAAUGCGAU